AGAGUUUGAUCCUGGCUCAGAAUGAACGCUGGCGGCAGGCCUAACACAUGCAAGUCGAGCGAGGUAGCAAUACCUAGCGGCGGACGGGUGAGUAACGCGUGGGAACGUACCCUUUGCUUCGGAAUAGCCCCUGGAAACGGGGAGUAAUACCGGAUGAGCCCUACGGGGGAAAGAUUUAUCGGCAAAGGAUCGGCCCGCGUUGGAUUAGGUAGUUGGUGGGGUAAUGGCCUACCAAGCCGACGAUCCAUAGCUGGUUUGAGAGGAUGAUCAGCCACACUGGGACUGAGACACGGCCCAGACUCCUACGGGAGGCAGCAGUGGGGAAUCUUAGACAAUGGGCGCAAGCCUGAUCUAGCCAUGCCGCGUGAUCGAUGAAGGCCUUAGGGUUGUAAAGAUCUUUCGUGGGGGAAGAUAAUGACGGUACCCCAAGAAGAAGCCCCGGCUAACUCCGUGCCAGCAGCCGCGGUAAUACGGAGGGGGCUAGCGUUAUUCGGAAUUACUGGGCGUAAAGCGCACGUAGGCGGAUUGGAAAGUCAGAGGUGAAAUCCCAGAGCUCAACUUUGGAACUGCCUUUGAAACUCCCAGUCUUGAGGUCGAGAGAGGUGAGUGGAAUUCCGAGUGUAGAGGUGAAAUUCGUAGAUAUUCGGAGGAACACCAGUGGCGAAGGCGGCUCACUGGCUCGAUACUGACGCUGAGGUGCGAAAGCGUGGGGGAGCAAACAGGAUUAGAUACCCUGGGUAGUCCACGCCGUAAACGAUGAAUGCCAGUCGUCGGGUAGCAUGCUAUUCGGUGACACACCU
rnacentral:rRNA from 1 species